rnacentral:rRNA from 1 species
GAGUGGCGGACGGGUGAGUAACGCGUGAGCAACCUGCCCUGCAACGGGGGACAACAGUUGGAAACGACUGCUAAUACCGCAUGAGACCACGAAACCGCAUGGUUUUGAGGUAAAAGGAUUUAUUCGAUGCAGGAUGGGCUCGCGUCCCAUUAGAUAGUUGGUGAGGUAACGGCCCACCAAGUCAACGAUGGGUAGCCGACCUGAGAGGGUGAUCGGCCACACUGGAACUGAGACACGGUCCAGACUCCUACGGGAGGCAGCAGUGGGGAAUAUUGGGCAAUGGGGGAAACCCUGACCCAGCAACGCCGCGUGAGGGAAGAAGGUCUUCGGAUUGUAAACCUUUGUCCUAUGGGACGAAAGAAAUGACGGUACCAUAGGAGGAAGCUCCGGCUAACUACGUGCCAGCAGCCGCGGUAAUACGUAGGGAGCAAGCGUUGUCCGGAAUUACUGGGCGUAAAGGGUGCGUAGGUGGUCAUGUAAGUCAGAUGUGAAAGACCGGGGCUUAACCCCGGGGUUGCAUUUGAAACUGUGUGACUUGAGUACAGGAGAGGGAAGUGGAAUUCCUAGUGUAGCGGUGAAAUGCGUAGAUAUUAGGAGGAACACCAGUGGCGAAGGCGACUUUCUGGACUGUAACUGACACUGAGGCACGAAAGCGUGGGGAGCAAACAGGAUUAGAUACCCUGGUAGUCCACGCCGUAAACGAUGGAUACUAGGUGUGGGGCCCGAUAGGGUUCCGUGCCGAAGCAAACGCAUUAAGUAUCCCGCCUGGGGAGUACGAUCGCAAGGUUGAAACUCAAAGGAAUUGACGGGGGCCCGCACAAGCAGCGGAGCAUGUGGUUUAAUUCGAAGCAACGCGAAGAACCUUACCAAGGCUUGACAUCCUCUGACGACUGUAGAGAUACAGUUUCCCUUCGGGGCAGAGAGACAGGUGGUGCAUGGUUGUCGUCAGCUCGUGUCGUGAGAUGUUGGGUUAAGUCCCGCAACGAGCGCAACCCUUAUUGCUAGUUGCCAGCGCGUAAAGGCGGGAACUCUAGUGAGACUGCCGGGGACAACUCGGAGGAAGGUGGGGACGACGUCAAAUCAUCAUGCCCCUUAUGUCUUGGGCUACACACGUGCUACAAUGGCCGGUACAAAGGGCAGCGAACCCGUAAGGGGAAGCGAAUCUCAAAAAGCCGGUCCCAGUUCGGAUUGUGGGCUGCAACCCGCCCACAUGAAGUCGGAGUUGCU